AGGUUUGAUCGUACCAGAACUAAUGCACCGGAUCCCAUUAGAAGUCUGUACUUAAUCGUGCUAGGGCGAGAGUAGUAUUAGGAUGGGUGACCUACUGGGAAGUCCUUGUCUUGCACCUU
rnacentral:rRNA from 2 species